rnacentral:rRNA from 1 species
ACGGAGGGUGCAAGCGUUGUUCGGAAUUACUGGGCGUAAAGCGCGCGUAGGCGGCUGUUUAAGUCAGAUGUGAAAGUCCAUGGCUCAACCAUGGAAGUGCAUAUGAAACUGGACAGCUUGAGUACUGGAGGGGGUGGUGGAAUUCCCGGUGUAGAGGUGAAAUUCGUAGAUAUCGGGAGGAAUACCGGUGGCGAAGGCGACCACCUGGCCAGAUACUGACGCUGAGGUGCGAAAGCGUGGGGAGCAAACAGG